rnacentral:rRNA from 1 species
GACGAACGCUGGCGGCGCGCUUAACACAUGCAAGUCGAGCGAGAACCAGGACUUCGGCCCUGGGGACAGCGGCGAACGGGUGAGUAACACGUGGGUAAUCUGCCCUCGGUUCCGGGAUAGCCCGGGGAAACUCGGAUUAAUACCGGAUAGCCUCACGAGCCUUCGGGGGAGUGAGAAAAGGUAGCUUUGGCCUCUGACCGAGGAUGAGCCCGCGGUGAUUAGCUUGUUGGCGGGGUAACGGCCCACCAAGGCGACGAUCCAUAGCUGGUCUGAGAGGACGAUCAGCCACACUGGGACUGAGACACGGCCCAGACUCCUACGGGAGGCAGCAGUGGGGAAUCUUGCGCAAUGGGCGAAAGCCUGACGCAGCGACGCCGCGUGGGGGAAGAAGGCCUUAGGGUGUAAACC